UUGCUCCUCUGAUUUAGCGGCGGACGGGUGAGUAACACGUGGGUAAUCUGCCUGUAAGACGGGGAUAACUCCGGGAAACCGGGGCUAAUACCGGAUAAUAAGAGAAGAAGCAUUUCUUCUUUUUGAAAGUCGGUUUCGGCUGACACUUACAGAUGAGCCCGCGGCGCAUUAGCUAGUUGGUGAGGUAACGGCUCACCAAGGCGACGAUGCGUAGCCGACCUGAGAGGGUGAUCGGCCACACUGGGACUGAGACACGGCCCAGACUCCUACGGGAGGCAGCAGUAGGGAAUCUUCGGCAAUGGGCGAAAGCCUGACCGAGCAACGCCGCGUGAGCGAUGAAGGCCUUCGGGUCGUAAAGCUCUGUUGUUAGAGAAGAACAAGUACGAGAGUAACUGCUCGUACCUUGACGGUACCUAACCAGAAAGCCACGGCUAACUACGUGCCAGCAGCCGCGGUAAUACGUAGGUGGCAAGCGUUAUCCGGAAUUAUUGGGCGUAAAGCGCGCGCAGGCGGUCUCUUAAGUCUGAUGUGAAAGCCCACGGCUCAACCGUGGAGGGUCAUUGGAAACUGG
rnacentral:rRNA from 1 species